rnacentral:rRNA from 1 species
CUGGUCUCAAAUCAGACAAGACUACCCGCUGAACUUAAGCAUAUCAAUAAGCGGAGGA